UACGAAGGGUGCAAACGUUGCUCGGAAUCAUUGGGCGUAAAGCGCACGUAGGCGGCCUUGUAAGUCGGAUGUGAAAUCCCACGGCUUAACCGUGGAAGUGCAUCCGAAACUGCGAGGCUCGAGUAUGGAAGAGGGUCGCAGAAUUCCCGGUGUAGAGGUGAAAUUCGUAGAUAUCGGGAGGAAUACCAGUGGCGAAGGCGGCGACCUGGGCCAAUACUGACGCUGAGGUGCGAAAGCGUGGGGAGCAAACAGG
rnacentral:rRNA from 2 species